rnacentral:rRNA from 1 species
CUUGACAUCACUAUGGAUACUCCCUCCGUCCCAAAAUACUGGCCAGGGACGAUGCGGGCGAUGCGGGCGACAUCCGGGACGGCCGCGUCGGGCCGGCCGCUGGCGACCUCCGCCGUGGGUUGCGCCGGAGGUAGGUUUUGGGCACUCGCGGAUGCAGAUCCUGAGGACGACGACGACGACGACCUCGCCGGAGGGUCCCCGCAAGCCUACUCGCCGACGCCUUCAUCGGUGAUCUGCGAGGCUUUUGAUCCUGGGUAUUCGGAAGAAGAAGUGGCGGCCAUUGUCGACGACAUUGUUCCGGUUGACGAUCCUGCGCGACAAGGUUUGGGACGGGAGGACAAGGUCGAGAUCGUGCGACGUAUGGUUCACCGGCGGACGACGGCGGGGGCUAUUCGGCCAUGGAAGGGCCCGAUCCCGAAGGUAUGUCUCCCGAAACCUACUUUGUCUGAUUUCAUUACGGAGGACUCCUGGAUUGUGGUCAAGAAGAGAAGGCCGCGGCGAAGAUCGGCGGCGAGGCUGCCGGCGCCGGCGGACGGCAGAAACGGCGACGUCCGACGUGAUCGGAUCGCGCGUUUGAAAUUGUUGUUUCAUGGGCUGCAACCGAACGAGGGGUCGGCCGGCCCAAUCGCUGCACCUAUGGGCCAAACUUGUAAUGUCCAGGUGGGUUCGGGACUAGCUGGGUUGUGUACCCAGGCAAAACCGGCCCAUCUUGGAGAGCUGGAGUUAGUUUCGGGUCGAGGGGAUUCACAUGCACGUUCGUCGAUCCACGAGCGCGCUAGGGUUCGCCGCCGGGGUCUCUGUGGUUUCCCCUCGGCUCUAGUUCGGAGGAUCAGGAGGGUUUCUGCGACUGCUGCUGCCUGUAUGCCGCCCAAGGGUCCGCCGCCGGCAAGGGGGGCGCCGACCACGGCGAAGGCGCCCGCGAGAGCUGCGCCUGGCGGGCCGGCUGUUGUUGGGGCUGGCGCAGUUGCGGCUGCAGCACCGGCAGCGGCUGCACCACCGGCAGCAGCUGCAACUCCGGCAGUGGCUGCAGCACCGGCUGCGGUUCAAGCACCGGCGGCAGCUGCUCCGGUCGCUGCCAGGGCGGGGGUGCCGCCUACUCAUGCGGGCGCACCACAGCCGCACCGUCCCUGGCCUAGGCAAAUGGCUGCUGGUCAGGGUGGCGCUCCUAACGGGGUUGCCGGCCGUGGUGGUGCCGCCUUUGGUGCUGCCGGCCGUGGGACGGGUGCUUUCGCGGGAGAUCACCGCAAUCCUCCCCGUGGUCAAUGGGGAGAUGAUGGCUACGACGCGUAUGGUCAGGGACUGCACCGAGGUUCGUCGUCCACAGGUGGUGGGCGAGGUUAUGCUUGGAAUGAUCAGGGUCAUGCUGGCCAGGGUUUUCAGGGACCGCCGGGGAAUUUCGUCGAGGGCGCGGUUGGCCCCAGCCGCUUCCGAGGGCGCUUCCGUGGUGGGCGAGGACGCUUCCGGGGUGGACGUGGUGGGCGUACUUUGCCCGGUGCCGACUCGGACCUUUCUGACAUGGCCACUGAUGAGGCGUCUCUGAACCAGACGGUGGUGGAGACGGCUAAAGCUCUUGCUGAUGUGGUUGUCCCGAUGGUACCACAGUCGGAGGAUGCUACGUCUGAUAAAGGCUCAGAGAAGGCCGGAGGUGACAAGCUGUCUAAGUGGGCGGCUAAGAAGAAGAAAUUAGUUUGUUUCCGCUGUGGGGAGACGGGUCACUUCAUGGUGGACUGUUCUGCUGAGUUAUGUGAGAUUUGUCGGAAACCUAAGCAUGUGGGGGCUGAGUGUCCGCUUCUUCUCGGGCCCAAAACGACGCUUAAUAUCUACGGGCUAUGUUGCUCUGAGUUGAUGUUCUUUGAGUCACCAAGUGUGGCUUCGAUGACUCCGGUAGUUGAAACCUCCUUCCCUGGGGUGGUCAAAGUGGUCACCGGACCGCUCACCGAAGCCCAGAUUAUUCAGCAGUUACGGGAGUUGGCUCCAGGAAAUUUCAACUGGUCCUUGUUGAAGCUUUCUGAUAAUUCUUAUAAAGUGGAUUUUCCAUCUAAAGAGGAUCAGAAGAGGAUCCUCAAGUUUGGCAUGAGUCGAGUUACUGGAACUAGCUUUGUGUUGCAGUUUGAUGAGUGGAAGAAGAAGGAGCCGCAGGGCACAUCACUGACUCAGAUCUGGGUUCGCUUUUCGGGGGCACCGUCCGAACCAUUGGAUGAUUUUUUUGUCACGUGGAGCUUGGGGUCCUUGCUCGGUAAGACUGAGCAGGUGGACAUGCCUUUUACUCGUGCUCACGGUGUUGCUCGUCUGUUGAUUAGCGUGGCCAACAUUCAGUUCUUGCCAGAUGUGGUCAGAUGGUGUUAUGAGGGGUUUGCUUACAUGUUGAAUGUCGAGUAUGAGGACCCGGACUUGUUUCAGGAUUUUGAGGAGUUGCUACCUAUGGAUACCUCUGAGGGGGGUGGCGCUUCUGGGCACCGGGGAGAGGAUGCACCCGGUGACGGUGACAGGGAUUCCAGGCCCGUGGAAUCGCCUAAACCAACUGAGUCUGCUAGGGGGAAAACUACGGGCUCGGCACCAUCCAAUAUGCUUCAGCUUGGUUCUGUUGGGGCUUUCUCUGCACCUUCGCGUCUUUGGAGUGAUCGUGUGGAGUUGGAUGAUCCGUCUGAGCACGUGCCACCGGUGAUGCCGGAGGAUUUGACGACUUUGGAGGACAGACUGACUGUUCAGGAGGUGCUUCCUUCUCCGUCACCACCUGUUCCGCGGCUGGACUUGACUAUUCUGGACGACUCGGUGGAGCUAGCCAGGAGUAUGGUCAGGACCAGCGCUGCUCUUUCGCUCACCUCGGCCCGGAAGGCCGUGGACGGGUCCAGCAGGCAUGAGGUGUUUUCGCCGGCCGACACGGCUAGGGAGGCGUCGACGCCGCUUCUCGCAGCCGUUGGUGCGUCCGGA